UACGUAGGGUGCAAGCGUUAUCCGGAAUCACUGGGCGUAAAGCGUGCGUAGGUGGCGCAUUAAGUGAGAUGUUAAAUCGUGUGGCUCAACCAUAUCGAUGCAUCUCAUACUGGCAGGCUAGAGUGCGGUAGAGGGUAGUGGAAUUCCCGGUGUAGCAGUGAAAUGCGUAGAGAUCGGGAGGAACAUCCGUGGCGAAGGCGACUACCUGGACCAGCACUGACACUGAGGCACGAAAGCGUGGGGAGCAAACAGG
rnacentral:rRNA from 1 species